CAAAACACAAAAUGAUUGUCGGUAUGCGACGCUCGGAGUGGUUGACGAAAAAAUAAUGGAAUCGCUACGGUAGUCGGAUAAAAUUUCAUGUUACGAAACUCGAGGUUCUCCGGAACACUAAUGGCAGGGGCUGUAGCAUCAAAUGUUAGACACCGGCAAUCUACCUGAUGUAGUAGCAGGACUAUGGCGAGCAUUAACUAACAUAGGAAGAUCCGAUGCGAGCAGUGGCCGUCUGUUAAAUUUAAACGAACAUCUCGCCCUGGUCAUAAAGUUGAACAUUAAUAGUGAGACUGGAAGUGGAAACAGAGAAACUUCUCCGUUCAAGGAAACUGGGAGUUGCAGAUGAAGUAACAACACUGAACUAAAUCUGGCUAUAAAGAAUAUCGGAAAUUCCAAUGCUCUUGCACUACUAGAAAAUCCAAUACUUUUUACCAGUACUAGAAAAAAUUUAUUCUAUUGAAAUGGUUGAAGGAUUGAUUUCAUUGGAAAUUCCGAUAAAUGCAGUAGUGUGGCAAGUUGAUAUGAUUUAUUAUUUUUGCAGAUGAAAUGAAACGGUAUCGUGGGGUCCAAUGAAACUUACUAAUGUUUAUUUAGCUAAAAAUUUGUUUUGCUUUAUUUUACUUACUUUCCUUAAAUUUAGUUUUUUUAAUUAAUAUAUAUACCGCAUCCUCCAUAUCAUGCACUUUUGGAUGUUCGCCGUACUUUCAAUACAGCUGGUGUUUCUUCCUGUGUUGUAUCGCUCAUUGCCGUGUGGUGGUAUCCAUAAAAUAUGGUUAAUGGACUUUUGUUCUGGAAUGUAUUUUAACACUAUUACUUUUCCUUCAAAAUAAUUAAACUAAUAUGAACUUACCGACGAAAUAUGUACAUCCUGACGUAUUGCGAUGUCAAAAAAAAGUCCUCUCAUCGAGCGCUAUGUUUUGAUUGAGCCACACGAAGCUGCGAAUAUAGUUUUCCCCUCACAUAGAUCGUCUUCUUCUUGAGCUGGAGAAAAAAUUUCAUCGAGCGAAAUUAAAUAAAAUAAAUCCUGCUAUUUCCGCAUUUAUGGAUUCUGGAAUAAAAAUAAUGACAAUAUUUCAUUGCAUUGCAGAUCAAAAUAAACUACUUACCAGUAUUUUGGAUUGAGCUUUGAAAAUGAACAAUGAUUAAUUUACGAACGAAUAAUCUUCCUUUUUAGAAUCGAUAUUAUUUAAAUGGUUUAAAUUUGAUAAAAGUUAUUGGAUCUUCUUAUGCAUUUUACUACGGGUGACUGCCUUAUAAAAUUUAUUGGAUCUUUUAGCAGUUUCAGACGGAUUUUUAUCAACCAAAACCAAGUGCUAGAAUUUAUUGGAUUUUCUUUUACUUUUCAUUAGAAAUGCUAUUAUCUUUUAUCAAGACCCUAAUUUAUAGAAGUUAUUGGAUUGACCCGAUAUAUUAUAUAGCCCGAUUUUGUUCAGUGAAUCACGGUAAGUACACUUUUUAGUUACUUACAUAAUUUUUUUUUUCAGGGAUUUUCAUCCUGUUGGAUGAUUCAUCCCAUUACUUACAUAAAUGAUUUUAUAAACGACAAAGGGAAAACUUGUCUAUGGCUGGACAACAUAAAUAUUUCCAAAACGCAUUAUUCCAAUAAUGUUUGACACCAUAAAAGAUAGUAAAUAGUGGGCUAAUAUGGUUAUCUGAUCUGCAAAAUUUAACCAAUAUUAGACGUUGAAAGAUUUUGGCUAGUACAUAUUACGAUAAUGAUCGCCCAAAUAUUCCUAAAUUUUUGUGCCAUUUGUGCAAACAUUGAUUGAUCAAGUUAUUUUUGUGACCAUUCAUCACUUUUGGAUUUGAUUGAUAACUAUUUUAUUUCGUACUGCAGUGUCCUUAUCGUAAUAUUGUUACUCUUCAAAUCAGUGGAGGAAAAUAUAAUAACAAAAAAUAUAAUGUUUGGAGGUACAUGACUCAAAUCUUUAAUUGUCCGGUAGUAGACAAGUUCCCCCUAUAUUCACAAAAUAUUUAGAUAUUAAUUAAUGUUAUUUCAAAUGAAGAGAUAAAAAAAAAAAAAAACAAAUUUAUCCUUUUUUUCUAUAGAAAGGAAUAUAUAGGAAUCAUAACGAAAGCUGGAAAAAUUUAAGUUUGUUUUGUUUUUUGUUCUAUUUAUUUUGUUCCCCUCUAGGUUAAUUUCCAACGGAUGCGGCGCAGCUUUUCGCCACUGGGAUCGGUGGAAGUUCCGGCUGAACAGCAGAUGCCUUUAGGACUGAGAAUGUAUUUGAGAACGAAGAAAAUGCUGGUUGCUGAUCAUCCACUACGACGAUAAAAGGCAACGGGUACAUUCCAGUCGGAUGCCGCAGGGGAAUCUUGUUCCUAUCCGCAGCAAUCCUCAAUCGAUUAGCACGAAGAACAGCCAGGAUCGGUACUACCGGAAGGUUAGGCAGAUUACACGGUACAUGAACAGUCGUGAUAAAAGUACCGAUAGAGAAGUAGACAAUACCGUACGCUCCCUUGUACCAGUGCUUGUACAUCAUCGAAUAUUUUGUCGAAUUGUCAGGAGUCAGAAAUAUGCUAUACUCGUCAACAUCAGAAUAUGGUAUAUGCUUGUUGUCACACAUCAAAUAAGGUGAAAAAUUUACGACGGGAAAUAAACUUAUUUUCUGACUUUUU